rnacentral:rRNA from 1 species
UACGGGGGGGGCAAGCGUUGUUCGGAAUUACUGGGCGUAAAGGGCUCGUAGGUGGCCAACUAAGUCAGACGUGAAAUCCCUCGGCUUAACCGGGGAACUGCGUCUGAUACUGGAUGGCUUGAGUUCGGGAGAGGGAUGCGGAAUUCCAGGUGUAGCGGUGAAAUGCGUAAAUAUCUGGAGGAACACCGAUGGCGAAGGCAAUCCCCUGGGCCUGCACUGACGCUCAUGCACGAAAGCGUGGGGAGCAAACAGG